CGGGGGGAGCAAGCGUUGUUCGGAUUUACUGGGCGUAAAGGGCGCGUAGGCGGUCAGCACAAGUCAGUUGUGAAAUCUCCGGGCUUAACUCGGGAAGGUCAACUGAUACUGUGCGACUAGAGUGCAGAAGGGGCAACUGGAAUUCUCGGUGUAGCGGUGAAAUGCGUAGAUAUCGAGAGGAACACCUGCGGCGAAGGCGGGUUGCUGGGCUGACACUGACGCUGAUGCGCGAAAGCCAGGGGAGCGAACGGGAUUAGAUACCCCGGUAGUCCUGGCCUUAAACGAUGGAUGCUUGGUGUCUGGAGUUUUAUAGUCUCCGGGUGCCGUAGCUAACGCGUUAAGCAUCCCGCCUGGGGAGUACGGUCGCAAGACUG
rnacentral:rRNA from 1 species